GAUGAACGCUGGCGGCGUGCCUAAUACAUGCAAGUCGAGCGAACGGACGAGAAGCUUGCUUCUCUGAUGUUAGCGGCGGACGGGCGAGUAACACGUGGAUAACCUACCUAUAAGACUGGGAUAACUUCGGGAAACCGGAGCUAAUACCGGCUAAUAUUUUGAACCGCAUGGUUCAAAAGUGAAAGACGGUCUUGCUGUCACUUAUAGAUGGAUCCGCGCUGCAUUAGCUAGUUGGUAAGGUAACGGCUUACCAAGGCAACGAUGCAUAGCCGACCGGAGAGAGUGAUCGGCCACACAGGAAGUGAGAGAGGGUCCAGACUCCUACGGGAGGCAGCAGUAGGGAAGCUUCCGCAGUGGGCGAAAGCCUGACGGAGCAACGCCGCGUGAGUGAUGAAGGUCUGCGGUACGUAAAACUCUGUUAUUAGGGAAGAACAUAUGUGGAAGUAACUGUGCACAUCUGGACGGUACCUAAGCAGAAAGCCACGGCUAACUACAG
rnacentral:rRNA from 1 species